UGCGCUAUCAGAUGAGCCUAGGUCGGAUUAGCUAGUUGGUGGGGUAAUGGCUCACCAAGGCGACGAUCCGUAACUGGUCUGAGAGGAUGAUCAGUCACACUGGAACUGAGACACGGUCCAGACUCCUACGGGAGGCAGCAGUGGGGAAUAUUGGACAAUGGGCGAAAGCCUGAUCCAGCCAUGCCGCGUGUGUGAAGAAGGUCUUCGGAUUGUAAAGCACUUUAAGUUGGGAGGAAGGGUUGUAGAUUAAUACUCUGCAAUUUUGACGUUACCGACAGAAUAAGCACCGGCUAACUCUGUGCCAGCAGCCGCGGUAAUACAGAGGGUGCAAGCGUUAAUCGGAAUUACUGGGCGUAAAGCGCGCGUAGGUGGUUAGUUAAGUUGGAUGUGAAAUCCCCGGGCUCAACCUGGGAACUGCAUUCAAAACUGACUGACUAGAGUAUGGUAGAGGGUGGUGGAAUUUCCUGUGUAGCGGUGAAAUGCGUAGAUAUAGGAAGGAACACCAGUGGCGAAGGCGACCACCUGGACUGAUACUGACACUGAGGU
rnacentral:rRNA from 1 species